UACGGGGGAGCAAGCGUUGUUCGGAAUUACUGGGCGUAAGCGCACGUAGGCGGAUCGAUCAGUCAGGGGUGAAAUCCCAGGGCUCAACCCUGGAACUGCCUUUGAUACUGUCGAUCUGGAGUAUGGAAGAGGUGAGUGGAAUUCCAGGUGUAGUGGUGAAAUGCGUAGAGAUCGGCAGGAACACCCAGGGAGAAAUCAGCCGCCUGGGCAAGUGCUGACGCUGAGGUGCGAAAGCGUGGGGAGCGAACCGG
rnacentral:rRNA from 1 species